rnacentral:tRNA from 1 species
GGCGCCGUAGCCAAGUGGUAAGGCACGGGACUGCAAAUCCCUGAUCCCCGGUUCGAAUCCGGGCGGCGCCUCCA